CAAUAAAGAAAGAAUAAAAUUAUUACUUUCUAAUAUUUUAUAUGACUUUCUGUGAAUAUAUAUAACAUCUUGAAUAAUAUAUGACUUUCUGUAUCUUUAUAUGAUAUCCUGAAUAAUAUAUAUGACUUCUUAAUAUCUUAUAUGACUUUUUGAAAAUAUAUAUAACAUCCUAAAUAAUAUAUAUGACUUAAUUUUUAUGAAUAUAUAUGAUAUUUUGAAUAAUAUAUAUGACUUUCUGAUAUCUUAUAUGAUUUUCUAUCAAUAUAUAUGAUAUUCUAAAUAAUAUAUAUAACUUUUUAUGAAUAUAUAUGAU
rnacentral:lncRNA from 1 species